ACCAGCUAAGGUCCCAAAAUAUAUGUUAAGUGGAAAAGGAUGUGGCGUUGCCCAGACAACUAGGAUGUUGGCUUAGAAGCAGCCAUCAUUUAAAGAGUGCGUAAUAGCUCACUAGUCGAGUGACACUGCGCCGAAAAUGUACCGGGGCUAAACAUAUUACCGAAGCUGUGGAUUGUCCUUUGGACAAUGGUAGGAGAGCGUUCUAAGGGCGUUGAAGCAUGAUCGUAAGGACAUGUGGAGCGCUUAGAAGUGAGAAUGCCGGUGUGAGUAGCGAAAGACGGGUGAGAAUCCCGUCCACCGAUUGACUAAGGUUUCCAGAGGAAGGCUCGUCCGCUCUGGGUUAGUCGGGUCCUAAGCUGAGGCCGACAGGCGUAGGCGAUGGAUAACAGGUUGAUAUUCCUGUACCACCUAUA
rnacentral:rRNA from 1 species